AACGAACGCUGGCGGCAUGCCUAACACAUGCAAGUCGAACGAGACCUUCGGGUCUAGUGGCGCACGGGUGCGUAACGCGUGGGAACCUGCCCUUAGGUUCGGAAUAACUCCCCGAAAGGGGUGCUAAUACCGGAUAAUGUCUUCGGACCAAAGAUUUAUCGCCUUUGGAUGGGCCCGCGUUGGAUUAGCUAGUUGGUAGGGUAAAAGCCUACCAAGGCGACGAUCCAUAGCUGGUCUGUGAGGAUGAUCAGCCACACUGGGACUGAGACACGGCCCAGAAUCCUACGGGGAGCAGCAGUAGGGAAUAUUAGACAAUGGGCGAAAGCCUGAUCCAGCAAUGCCGCGUGAGUGAUGAAGGCCUUAGGGUUGUAAAGCUCUUUUACCCGGGAUGAGAAUGACAGUACUGGGAGAAUAAGCUCCGGCUAACUCCGUG
rnacentral:rRNA from 1 species